UCCCUCCCCAAAACCCUAUUCUCUCUCUCUCUCUCUCUCGUCCACGCACCGCUCUGUUCAACGAUGGCCGCCGCCUUCGAAUUCGACGAGACCCCCGGCAACUACGACGAUGGCCACCGGCAGCCCCAGGCGCCGCCGCAGCCGGACGCCGGGUACGACCCGAACUUCGUGCCCGACUCCGUCAAGUCCUUCGUCGUCCACCUCUACCGCCACAUCCGCGAGAAGAACGUGUACGAGAUCCACCAGAUGUACGAGACCUCGUUCCAGACCCUCUCCGACCGCCUCUUCAAGGAGACCCCCUGGCCUUCCGUCGACGCCGUCGCCCACUACGUCGACAACGACCACGUCUUCUGCCUGCUCUACCGCGAGAUGUGGUUCCGGCACCUGUACGCCAGGCUCUCGCCGACGUUGAAGCAGCGGAUUGAUUCGUGGGACAAUUAUUGCAGUCUCUUUCAGGUAGUCUUGCAUGGGGUGGUGAAUAUGCAGUUGCCGAACCAGUGGUUGUGGGACAUGGUGGAUGAGUUUGUUUACCAGUUCCAGAGCUUUUGCCAGUAUAGGGCGAAGAUGAAGAGCAAGACUGAGCAGGAGAUUGCACUAUUGAGGCAGUAUGAUCAGGCUUGGAAUGUGUACGGUGUGCUCAAUUUUUUGCAAGCACUUGUGGAGAAGUCAAUGAUCAUUCAGAUCUUGGACCAGGAAAAGGAAGGCCUUGAACAAUUCACUGCCACUGAUGGGUAUGAUUACAAUGGUGGGAGCAAUGUGUUGAAGGUGCUUGGUUACUUCAGCAUGGUGGGAUUGCUACGAGUUCAUUGUCUCUUAGGUGACUAUCAGACUGGCUUAAAGUGUUUACUCCCAAUUGACAUUAGUCAACAAGGCGUUUAUACUAGUGUCAUUGGAAGCCACAUUACCACUAUUUAUCACUUUGGGUUUGCCAAUCUUAUGCUGCGGAGGUAUGUUGAUGCAAUUCGAGAGUUCAAUAAAAUUCUCUUAUACAUCUAUAAGACAAAGCAAUACCAUCAGAAGUCCCCACAGUAUGAACAGAUACUCAAGAAGAAUGAGCAGAUGUAUGCCUUGCUGGCUCUUUGUCUUUCACUUUGUCCCCAAGUAAAACUUGUUGAAGAGACUGUGAACUCUCAGUUGCGAGAGAAAUAUGGUGAAAAAAUGCUCAGAAUGCAGAGAUAUGAUGAUGAGGCUUUUGUCAUCUAUGAUGAGCUCUUCUCAUAUGCCUGUCCUAAGUUCAUCACACCCUCAUCUCCAAGCUUUGAGGAGCCUCUUGUAAACUACAAUCAGGAUGCCUAUAGACUUCAGUUGAAGCUUUUCCUUUAUGAAGUGAAGCAGCAGCAACUACUCUCAGGUGUUAGGAUUUUCUUGAAGGUGUAUUCAACAAUCUCAUUUGCUAAGCUUGCAAAUUAUAUGGAAGUGGAUGAACCCACUCUACGAACUAUAUUGAUUACAUAUAAACACAAGACACAUGCUGUCGAUGCAGAUGGAAAGAUCAUCUCAAAUGCAGAUAUCGAUUUCUUUGUAGAUGAUGACAUGAUUCAUGUUGUUGAAUCCAAACCUGGAAAGAGAUAUGGAGAUUAUUUCUUGCGCCAGAUUGUCAAGCUUGAAAGCAUGAUGAAUGACAUGGACAGAGUUAAGCUGGAAUAACUGCACUGUCUUCUUGAUUUGUCUGUCCCCUCUGCCGGCUCUCUUUCUUUGAAGAUCGGUUGGAUCGUGUGCGGUCAGACAUGGGGUCGUGCGACAAAGACGGGCCGGUGUCAAUUGCACGACCAAUGAUUGAGCGACAGCUGGUUUGAUUGUUUCCCACUUAUUACGUACCUCCGUCACUUGAUCUUCUUCCCGGUUGGUGGCCGGUUGGUGGUUCGACGAGACCCAUCCUCAUACGACAACGCGUUUUGAGGUGCCGAGCAAUCACCAUUUCGGCUUGUCCCGCCAGUACAAGCACCAACACCAAGUGUGAUUUCGUUGGACCCCAAAAGAGAAUGUGAAAAUUUGCUUCCAUGAUGAUCUUUUGAAAAGUUUCUCUAACGACAGGAUUUGCCAUGACUCCACCCGCUCGACUGUGGCCGAAACGUGCACCGAAAGUCGCAUCCGAUGACAUCCGUCUUUGCAUUACUUGUAAAUUUCGUCUUUGAGAGUCUGUCCGUCACGUUGAUUACCCUUUUUCUUUCUUGCGAUUACGUGGCUCUUGGAAUUGUUCUGACA